UACGGAGGAUCCGAGCGUUAUCCGGAUUUAUUGGGUUUAAAGGGAGCGUAGGCGGGUUGUUAAGUCAGUUGUGAAAGUUUGCGGCUCAACCGUAAAAUUGCAGUUGAUACUGGCAUCCUUGAGUACAGUAGAGGUAGGCGGAAUUCGUGGUGUAGCGGUGAAAUGCUUAGAUAUCACGAAGAACUCCGGUUGCGAAGGCAGCCUGCUGGACUGUAACUGACGCUGAUGCUCGAAAGUGUGGGUAUCAAACAGG
rnacentral:rRNA from 1 species